CGUGUUUCAGCUAGGAGGAAGCGCGUGAGUUUAGAAGCCGCGCGGGGUCGUGGGGUGUCCCGGGAGUUCGAGGCGUGCGCUUUCUCUUUGGCCGUUCGCCGCUGAACGUCUUGUGUCCUUUCCGCCCUUUCGGGGUGGGGGAAAGCAGAGCUUCUCCACGAGUUGGGGCCCGUGAAGGAGAAGGGAGCCAGCGGGGGACUCUGGAGUGCCUGAGGGCAGGGCUGCGGCCCGGAAGAGGCGAGGAGAAGAGAGGGUUCCCGUAGGCAGGGUCCGCACGCGCUGGGAUCAGGGCUGGUCCCGAGAAGGGCCUGGGGCGGCCGCGCUAUGUUCGGGGCCCGGUGCCUGCUCCGAGCCCUGCGCUCCUGUUCCUCGGCUCCCUGCCCAAGGCACAAACCUUCAGCCAAACUGAGCGUGCGGGACGCUCUCGGGGCCCAGAACGCAAGUGGGGAGCGCGUUAAGGUCCAGGGAUGGAUUCGUUCAGUCCGAUCCCAGAAGGAAGUCUUGUUCCUGCAUGUAAAUGAUGGGUCAUCUUUGGAAAGCCUUCAGGUUGUAGCAGAUUCAAGCUUUGACAGUAGAGAACUGGCCUUUGGGAGUUCCGUGGAAGUUCAAGGGCAGCUGGUAAAAAGUUUGUCCAAAAGGCAAAAUGUGGAACUGAAGGCAGAAAAAAUUGAAGUUGUUGGAAAUUGUGAUGCCAAGGCUUUCCCUUUUAAAUAUAAAGAGAGGCAUCCUCUGGAGUAUCUGAGACAAUACCCUCACCUUAGGUGUAGGACUAAUGUUCUGGGUUCUAUACUGAGGGUUCGCAGUGAAGCCACAGCUGCUAUCCAUUCUUUCUUUAAGGACAGUGGCUUUGUGCAUAUUCAUACUCCAGUAAUCACAUCCAAUGACUGUGAGGGGGCUGGAGAACUUUUUCAAGUUACGCCUUCAAGCAAAAUAAAGGUACCUGAGGAGAAUUUCUUCAAUGUUCCUGUUUUCUUAACUGUCUCAGGACAACUUCAUCUAGAAGUGAUGUCAGGAGCUUUUACUCAAGUGUUUACCUUUGGUCCAACAUUCCGAGCAGAGAAUUCUCAGAGCCGGAGACACCUGGCAGAGUUUUAUAUGGUAGAAGCAGAGAUUUCUUUUCUUGAGAGCCUUCAAGAUCUCAUGCAGGUUAUGGAGGGCCUCUUCAAGACUACAGCAAUGACAGUUCUCUCAAAUUGUCCUGAAGAUGUUGAACUCUGUCACAAAUUCAUAGCUCCUGGCCAAAAGGACAGAUUAGAACAUAUGCUAAAAAACAACUUUCUAAUCAUUUCUUAUACUGAGGCAGUGGAGAUCUUAAAGCAGGCAUCCCAGAACUUCACCUUCACUCCAGAGUGGGGUGCUGAUCUACACACUGAACAUGAAAAGUACCUGGUGAAGCACUGUGGCGACAUACCAGUCUUUGUCAUUAAUUAUCCAUUAGCACUCAAGCCCUUCUACAUGAGGGAUAAUGAAGACAGCCCUCAGCACACAGUUGCUGCUGUUGAUCUUCUGGUUCCUGGAGUUGGAGAACUCUUUGGGGGAAGCCUCAGAGAAGAACGGUACCAUUUCUUAGAGCAGCGAUUGGCCAGGUCAGGACUGACAGAAGCCUACCAAUGGUAUCUGGACCUCCGUCAAUUUGGAUCUGUGCCACAUGGAGGUUUUGGGAUGGGAUUUGAACGCUAUCUGCAGUGCAUCUUGGGAAUUGACAAUAUCAAAGAUGUUAUCCCUUUUCCAAGAUUUACUCAUUCGUGUCUUUUGUAGCUGAAGACUGCUUAAGGAAAACCACCCUGUGCCAGAGACAUUUCACGCAGGACUGAACAGGCAUUGAAGAUGCAACUGGUGAGAUGGAUUAACUCUACCCUUCUUUAAACCUCUUCAGGUUUUUGCAUCAGGAAACUGUCGGGUCAGAUUCCUGCCAGAAAAUGUGCUGGAUGUUUCGUGUCUUGGAAGGGGUAUUAGACGUAGAGGGAGAAGACUCUGGUUUAUGUCUGACGCUCUACUUACCAGCUGUGGAACCUUGAGCAAGUUAUUUUAUCUCUGAGUUUGUAUACUUAUCUGCAAAAUGAGGAUGAUAUUUAACUUACAGAGUGUUGUGAGAAACGGCGAAGACUGUGUGAAAGGGUUUCAUAAGUUGACAACACUACACAAAUGUAAGGUCUCCUAAGGGAAUCCUUUUCAAAACUCAAAAAAAAAAAUCUGUAUGAAGUAAGAUAUUUAUUACAUGUUGAAUGAAAUAUUUUAUAGCCAUAAAAAUUAUAAGAGAAAAUGUGUUGAAAAUUUUUUAAGUUGUACUUUGCAGUUACAACAGUGUAAAAGCUGUGCACAUGGACUAGAAGCAUAUGGGAAAAAAUGGAAUCAGCUGUUUCAGGACAGUGGAAUUGAGCGACUUUUCUUUAAAAAUCUCUUUGGCCUAUUCAAUUCAGUUCAGUAGACGCACUGUGCCAGGUUAAGUGCUCGAUUCUGUGAACACAGAGAAAAAUAGGAUAUGCUCCCACGUCUCAGGGACUCCCAUUUUGUAUAAUCUUUGUUAAAGUUUAUUAUGCAUAAGAAUCACCUGGGGAGCUUAUUAAAAGUUCAGAUUAUCCUGAUACCACCCUAGAAAGUCUGUUCCACCCUAAAAGGUCUAGGAUGUAACAGCACACAGUUAGCAUUCUUCAAACAGUCACCCUGAGUGAUUCUAAUAUAGGUGGUUUAACUUCACACUGUGAGAAACCUUCAGUGAGGUUUUAAUGUUUUUACUGUAAAAAGUAAUAAUUAGAUCUGCUCAUUGAAGAAUUUGAUUGUUCUGUCUGGACCUUUUUUUUUAAUAUAUAUAUUUUUUUAAAUUUUAUUUUUUUGGCCGCAUUGGGUCUUCUUUGCAGCGCAAUGGCUUUCUCUAAUUGCAGUGAGGAGGGGCUACUCUUCGUUGCGGUGUGUGGGCUUCUCAUUGCGGUGGCUUCUCUUGUUGUGGAGCCCGGGCUCUAGGCGCGCGGGCUUCAGUAGUUGUGGCACGUGGGCCCUAGAGCGCGCGGGCUUCAGUAGUUGCGGCACAUGGGCUCUCAGGUGCAUGGACUUCAGUAGUCGUGGCACACAGGCUUAGUAGCUGUGGCGCAUGGGCUUAGUUGCUCUGCGGCAUGUGGGCUCUUCCCGGACCAGGAACCCAUGUCCCCUGCAUUGGCAGGCGGAUUCUUAACCACUGUGCCACCAGGGAAGUCCCCUGUGUGGACCUUUGAGCUGGCUUCUGUGCCUCUAUAUCAAGGAUGGGAAAGCCAGCCUGCAGAGUGGUGUUGCUCUGGAACUCAUGUGGCAUAGAUCCUGCCACAUCUCUCGACCUUUAUCUCUGCCUCACUUCCUUUCUCUUCCACUACCUCUCCCAUGUUUUUUCUCUGUGCAUGUUUUUCUCUCUCACUCUGAUUCCUCCUAUGCCUGCAAUACAGCAACAUCCAGGUGCUUCCCCUUCCUUUCUCCACCCCUUCCCCCAACCAGAUAUGUCAACUUUAUUGAAAAGAAACCCAACCUACUUCUAGUUUACUAACUUGUGCAGGAAGGCUCUUGUAUCUAGUUAAUGUUUCUCAGAAAACUUAGGAGUGGGCUAUUCAUGGAUCAACAACCACAAAGAUACCAUAUGUGGACCUUUUGUGUCUUUAUUUUGACUGUCAUUUCACUCUUGAUUAACUUUUUUCUAGUGGGUUAGCAGCCUUCAACAGAGUCCUGUCCUCAUCAGGCUGGAGUGUGCCCUGCAUCCUGACAGAGCACUGCUUGUCUCCACAUGCCUAUGAACGGACUUGGGUGGCUUUCUCAGGCUACACACCUGUCACCUCUUAGUCACCUAGAAUCAAAAUAUUAACAGCUCUGAUCACACUGUCUGAGGCCAUGAGGCUUUAUUUCAAGAAUGGUGACACUCCAAAAUGCAGCUAGGAUUUCUACCUUUUCAUGUGUUUAUAUUACUAGUGUUAGUGUUUAUAUGACUUGCACCUCUAGAUACCAAGGGUUGGUCAAUGGCUUCCAGACUCCCUCCCUCCAUUAUGCUCCCUCAGAACCAUAUGAAAAUACUGGUCCUCUUAUAUUGUCACUUGUCUUCUCUGCCAGAACGUGAGCUCCAUGAGAACAGGAGAGUGUAUUUAUCUUUGUAUGUCCAGUGCCUUGGAGAGUAUCUGGAACAUAGAGGGUACUCAUUAAAUAACUCUUGAAUGAAUUAGGUAUCAUAAAUUAGGUGUCAAAAAAAAGUAAAUGUACCCAUCAGACAAAAGGGAGAUAUUCCUUAAAAAAUAAUUCCCAAACUGACUUUCCCCCCUCUAUGUCUCUAAAAUAUUUCAUAAAUUGAAUUUUUAAAUUAGCCCUUUCAGCCUAAACCCAAGUCUGAAGCCACUGCCUGAACAUAGAACAGAAAGUCAGGGAUCAGAAGAAACUAUGAGUUCAACUAGUAAUUUGUCAUUGUAAUCUGUUAUUGAAGGUGAGUUUCUAGGGCAACUCUCCAGCACUGCUUCUGGAGUACAGUGACUUAGUAGGCUUGUCAAGAACCUCUCCAUGCUGUUCAUCAUUACAUAACCAGCACCUAGCCAAGUGCCUUGCACAUAGUAGGUACUGAGUAAAUACUUGUUGAAUGAAUUAUUUGAUUGGUGGAGGAAAUUCAGAAGCAAGUCCUAAGACGAAUUUAGUUGGAGUCGCUCAUAUUUUUAGUUAGUGUUUUUUUCCACCUUGCUCUCUAAAUCUAGAUAAGUUUCUUGCCUCAAAAUUGAAGGAGCUACUGCUUACAUCAUCUAAUUCAGCAAACGUUAAUUGAUGCCUACUCUGUGCCUCUCUGUGGGAGGCACCCAAAGACAAGGAAAACCCUUACUGUUUGUCCCCAUAUAGGGGGGACAAACUGAUAAUUUUGUUGGACUGAUGAUUCCUCUGUGCUCCCACAAUCCUUUGAACAUACCUCUAUUAUAACAUUGCCCACAUACUACUAUUGACAUCUGCUUAUCUAUUUCUCUCCCCAUAAAGACCCUGAACUUCUUAAAACCCUGGUCUUACUCACCUCAGUAUUCCUAUGCUGAACUUGUCAUAGUAGGUUCUCAGAAAAUCUUUAUUGAGAACUGAAUAACAUGGACUUCCAUGGUGGUGCAGUGGUUGGGAAUCUGCCUGCCAAUGCAGGGUUCAAGCUGUGGUCCGGAAGGAUCCCACAUGCUGCGGAGCAACUAGGCCCGUGCGGCACAACUGCUGAGCCUGCGCUCUGGAGCCCGCGAGCCACAACUGCUGAGGCCCAUGCACCUGGAACCCAUGCUCCGCGACAGGAGAGGCCACCACAAUGGGAGGCCCGCGCACCACAGCAAAGAGUGGCCCCUGCUCGCCGCAACUGGAGGGGGCCCUCGUGCAGCAACGAAGACUCAAUGCAGCCAAAAAAACGAACCAAAAAAAACACAACAUUGUAAAUCAACUAUAUUUCAAUAAAAGUUAUUUAAAACUUUAAAAAAAACUGAAUAACAAGUACAUAAAUAAUAAUUCCCAAGUAAUAUAUAUAGGAAUAUAAACAUUUUGUACUUGAAUAGAAAUACAUGCCUAAGUGUUUUCUGAGUUUCAAAUGAUAGAUACUGGGUAUGUCCUGCAAGAAACAAGAUUGGUGUUCAUGUCUCUAUUAAACACCUUUCAAGGUAUCUAGUUAGUUAUCGAACCCAUCUUUCCUCUGAGAAUUCCCCCACCCCUAUCCUAGCCAGUAAAACCCCAGCAGACAUACUGGGGACAUGAGCUUCCCUUGCUGGUAGGACUGGGAUGGAUACCUGACCCCAAAUGGACCAGUCUCAUUUUCUCUUAGAAAAUUGGGGUCUGGACUAGUUGCUUGAACCAGGAACAUGUAAACUUAGGAGCUCUAAGACAAACAUGUACCUUAAGAGACAGAGAAAGUCUGCAGAAAGAGAGAACUGAAGGCAAAAUGCUCAGAGAUGAAAAACCAUAUGGCCUCUGAGAGAGACAGACACACAGACUGGCUGCCUAGUUCUUGCUAUAUUUAGUCCUUGGUUGCUGCCCUUCCUGAGGCCACAUUCAACUAUUUCUUGGGUUCCAUGGGAUAUGCCUCUUUUUAAAACAAACAAACAAAAAAAAACAGUAAAUUCCCUAUUGCGGCUUAAGCAAAUUUUAAAUGGGUAUCUGCUUUUACAACUAAAAGACAUUAGUACACCGUCUGACUUACGGAAAGAAUUCUCCUUACUCUUUAAGCCUCAUUACCUUUUCGUCACACAUACUAUUCUAGAAUAUUUGUUGAUCAAGAAAUUAUUUAGAAGAGGAAUUCCUGAUAAAUAAGAUGCAGGAGGGUAAGUGAUGACUUCUUUGCUUUUCAAGUUUCUUGAUACUCUAAGUCACAAAAACAAAUGAAUGGAGACUUAUUUACAGAGGGGAUUGGAUACACAUCAGACCUUUCUUUGAACUACAAAAUUGGAUUAAAGAGGUUUUGAAGAACCAACACAUUUGGCCGCUUCCCAAGACAUCUAUUUUUGAAGAUUCUGCUUUCCAGAACUGUUUAAGGAUGGCUUUUGUCACGGGCCUUAGCUGUGUUUCAGACUAGCCAAAACUGAAAAGUGGGAAGAGACUAAAUCAGAAAGUGUGUGUGCCUAGAGCAGCCCAAACCCUGCUGCUGGGCUGGCAUAAACACUCAUGGCCAGAUCUCAAAGUAAGAUAAAGACUUUGUUCUUCAGAAACAGUUCCAAAUAUGAAGUUAUAAUGAUGUCUGCCAACAUGUUUCUAAUGACUCUAGGAAAAGAAAACAACAACAAGUAAGUUUCCAGCUCUUUUCUCAGUGGACACUGGACCUUGGAGAAGCUUGCAUGUAAUUUGACUGCAGCUACUUUCUGUUUUUAGUUAAUUAUGUUAAAUGUGCCUCAUAACUUCCAUUUCCAGUGGGGCUGUCAUUUAGAAGGGUGCUGGGGGGAAGCUGUUUUAAUUCUGGCUUUUGUUUCAGCCACUAAAUGUAAUGCCACAUGAUUGUUGACCCAACAGUAAUCCAGUUAAAAAACAGGCUACAGAGUUACUGCAUCACCAAAAUUAACCCUGAUUACAUCAAAUUAUGUUGAAACAGACCACAGCUGUUUGCCCUGUUGAAGCAACCGUUUGAGAGCCCAUCCAGAAGAUACAUCUGGGUGUCAGGAAGACACAUUCUGGGUUUUAUUUUUGUUUCUCAACAUAAAUGGAGGAGGGAAACACUCUGUUCUGCCCAGAGUGCUUGGUAGAGCUGAAAACCUUGUGAUUCUCCAGAAUUAAAAAUCUUCAUUCCAGAAGAGAAAAAACCUGAGAUCUCCUGUUUCGGUUUUCUAUAGGAAGAAUGUAAGAAGGAAAUCCAAAUCUGUUGAGUAUCACUCUUGUCAGCAAAAAGAAGUGGAACUGACUAAAGAGAAGGACAGUGGGAUUUUUUGUGGAGGGCUGUAUGCAGUGGUAUGCUGGGCUAGCUCAUACCAGCCUGUGAGAAUGGAUUGUUAAGUUAUGGAAAAAAUUUGCAAGCUGAUUGCUAAAGAAUAAUGUUAAAAUUAAAUUAUAAUUAAAAGUGGAAAAUAACAGGUAUUUAUUGGAGACGAAGUGGACAGAUUGGAACCCUCAAACAUUGCUGGUGGGAAUGUAAGAUGAUGUAACCACUGUGGGAAAUAGUUAAAGAGUUCUGUAAAAAGUUAAACACAGAGUCACAGUAUGAUUCAGCAAUUCAACUCCUAGUUAUAUAGCCAAGAGUAUGAUAACAUAGGUUCACACAAAAACUUGUACAUGAAGGUUCAUAGCAAGAUUAUUCAUAAUAGUCAAAAAGUGGAAACAACUGAAAUGUCUAUCAACUGAUGAAUGGAUAAAUAAAAUGUGGUACAUGGAUAUAAUGGAAUAUUAUUCAGCCGUGAAGAGGAAUGAAGAAAAACUGAUAUACAUCAGAACAUGGAUGAACCUUGAAAACAUUAUACAAAGUGAAAAGUCAGACCCAAAAGGCUAUAUAGUAUAUGAUUCCGAUUAUAUGAAAUAUCCAGAAUUGGCAAAUCCACAGAGACAGAAAGUAAAUUAGUGGUUGCCAGGGGAUGGGGUUGGGGGAAUGAGGAGUGACCGCUAAUGGACAUGGAGUUUCUUUUGGGAUGAUGAAAAUGUUUUGAAUUAGCAGUGAUAUUUGCACAACUCGUGAAUACACUAAAAACCACUGAGUUGUACACUUUAAAAGGGUGAUGUUUAUGGUAUGUGAAUGAUACCUUAAUUUAAAAAUU